rnacentral:misc_RNA from 1 species
UACGUAGGGGGCAAGCGUUAAUCGGAAUCACUGGGCUUAAAGGGUGCGCAGGCGGAUAUGCAAGUGCCUUGUGAAAUCCCACCGCUCAACGGUGGAAUUGCUCGGCAGACUGCAUAUCUUGAACACGACAGGGGCUGUCGGAACUGUAGGUGGAGCGGUGAAAUGCGUAGAUAUCUACAGGAACGCCAAAGGCGAAGGCAGGCAGCUGGGUCGUUGUUGACGCUCAGGCACGAAAGCGUGGGGAGCGAACGGG